AGCAGCCGCGGUAAUUCCAGCUCCAAUAGCGUAUAUUAAAGUUGCUGCAGUUAAAAAGCUCGUAGUUGAAUUUCGGGAUCAAUAUGUUGGUCGUGCCUUGGUGCGUACUAGUUUAUUGAUUUCUCCCUUCUGACGAACUAUGAUGCCAUUAAUUUGGUGUCAUGGGGAAUCAGGACUGUUACUUUGAAAAAAUUAGAGUGUUUAAAGCAGGCUCACGCUUGAAUACAUUAGCAUGGAAUAAUAAAAUAGGACGUUUGAUUCUAUUUUGUUGGUUUCUAGGAUCGACGUAAUGAUUAAUAGGGAUAGUUGGGGGCAUUAGUAUUCAAUUGUCAGAGGUGAAAUUCUUGGAUUUAUUGAAGACUAACUACUGCGAAAGCAUUUGCCAAGGAUGUUUUCAUUAAUCAAGAACGAAAGUUAGGGGAUCGAAGACGAUCAGAUACCGUCGUAGUCUUAACCAUAAACUAUGCCGACUAGGGAUCGGAUGGUGUUAAUUUUUAAUGACUCAUUCGGCGCCUUAAC
rnacentral:rRNA from 1 species